GAUGAACGCUGGCGGCGUGCCUAAUACAUGCAAGUCGAGCGAACAGACGAGGAGCUUGCUCCUCUGACGUUAGCGGCGGACGGGUGAGUAACACGUGGAUAACCUACCUAUAAGACUGGGAUAACUUCGGGAAACCGGAGCUAAUACCGGAUAAUAUAUUGAACCGCAUGGUUCAAUAGUGAAAGACGGUUUUGCUGUCACUUAUAGAUGGAUCCGCGCCGCAUUAGCUAGUUGGUAAGGUAACGGCUUACCAAGGCAACGAUGCGUAGCCGACCUGAGAGGGUGAUCGGCCACACUGGAGCUGAGACACGGUCCAGACUCCUACGGGAGGCAGCAGUAGGGAAUCUUCCGAAAUGGGCGAAAGCCUGACGGAGCAACGCCGCGUGAGUGAUGAAGGUCUUCGGAUCGUAAAACUCUGUUAUUAGGGAAGAACAAAUGUGUAAGUAACUAUGCACGUCUGGACGGUACCUAAUCAGAAAGCCACGGCUAACUACGU
rnacentral:rRNA from 1 species